rnacentral:rRNA from 1 species
AGAGUUUGAUCCUGGCUCAGGAUGAACGCUAGCGGCAGGCUUAAUACAUGCAAGUCGAGGGGCAACAGGGGUAGCAAUACCUGCUGGCGACCGGCAAACGGGUGCGGAACACGUACAGAACCUUCCUCUGAAGCGGGGGAUAGCCCGGAGAAAUCCGGAUUAAUACCCCAUAGUAUUAUUGUGUGGCAUCACAUGAUGAUUAAAGAUUUAUCACUUAGAGAUGGCUGUGCGGCUGAUUAGGUAGUUGGCGGGGUAAAGGCCCACCAAGCCAGCGAUCAGUAACUGGUGUGAGAGCACGACCAGUCACACGGGCACUGAGACACGGGCCCGACUCCUACGGGAGGCAGCAGUAAGGAAUAUUGGUCAAUGGAGGCAACUCUGAACCAGCCAUGCCGCGUGAAGGAUGAAGGUCCUCUGGAUUGUAAACUUCUUUUAUGUGGGAAGAAACCGAUGGAAUAAUCUGUCGUUGACGGUACCAUAGGAAUAAGCACCGGCUAACUCCGUGCCAGCAGCCGCGGUAAUACGGAGGGUGCGAGCGUUAUCCGGAUUCACUGGGUUUAAAGGGUGCGUAGGUGGGAAUGUAAGUCAGUGGUGAAAUCUCUGAGCUUAACUCAGAAACUGCCAUUGAUACUAUGUUUCUUGAAUUUUCUGGAGGUCAGCGGAAUAUGUCAUGUAGCGGUGAAAUGCUUAGAUAUGACAUAGAACACCAAUUGCGAAGGCAGCUGGCUACAGGGAUAUUGACACUGAGGCACGAAAGCGUGGGGAUCAAACAGGAUUAGAUACCCUGGUAGUCCACGCCCUAAACGAUGGAUACUCGACAUUUGUGAUAGACAAUAAGUGUCUGAGCGAAAGCAUUAAGU